AGAAACCAGAAGGGUGGAGAGCGCCCUGUGAUUGGCCGGCGGCAGGGAUUCAAACCGAAUCGCGGGGCAGUUGAAGCCGGCUGUUGGAGUGGGAGCUCGGAGCGGGAGGAUGGAUACCACAAUGAGGAACCUGUGGAAUUUGUGUGACCAACUCAUACGCCAGGCUGAAGUUUUAAGCGAGGGGAAUGAAUGCCAAUUUAUUCAGCUGGCGAAGAACUUUGAAGACUAUCGAAGGAAGUGGCAGAAAACUGAGCAGGAGCUUGGAAGAUACAAAGACCUGCUGAUGAAAAGUGAAGCUGAACGUAGUGCUUUGGACGUGAAGCUGAAACAUGCGCGCAAUCAAGUGGAUGUAGAGAUCAAACGCAGGCAAAAAGCUGAAGCAGACUGUGACAGGCUGGAGAGGCAAAUACAACUGAUUCGAGAGCUGCUCAUGUGUGAUGCAUCUGGGAGCAUUCAGCUAAGUGAAGAACAGAAGUCUGCCCUUGCCUUCCUUAACAAACCACAGGUUUCUGUAGGAGGUUCAGGCAACAAGAGACUGUCUACAAUAGAUGAAUCUGGCUCAAUUCUGUCAGACAUCAGCUUUGACAAGACUGAUGAUUCACUGGACUGGGAUUCCUCUGCAGUGAAAACUGUCAGACUGAAGAGGAGAGAGAAGAGGCGCUCUUCCAGGCAGCAUGCUGAAGGCCCACCAGCUCCUGAGAAGAAAAUCAGAUCAAUUGGCUCCACAGCAGACCAGGGAAAUGAAUCCAUAGUGGCAAAGACGACUUUCAUGGUUCCCAGUGAUGGUGGUCCUAUUGAAGCCAUCUCUACCAUUCAGACUGUGCCCUACAGCCUGAGAAGCCAGAGAAAGAGUGGUCCUUUGCAGCCUUGGAGCAGUGAGACAAGCUUAGGCUUUAAGCAGGUGGAAUCCAAAUCAGAGAGCAAUGGUUCUGUCACCCCACAGAGCAACGGGGGAGUGAGGCUGCAUGACUUCGUAUCAAAGACGGUUAUCAAACCAGAGUCAUGUGUUCCUUGUGGAAAAAGAGUGAAAUUUGGAAAAAUCUCUCUGAAGUGCAGAGAUUGCCACGUGGUCAGUCAUCCAGAGUGUCGAGAUCGCUGUCCUCUUCCCUGCAUCCCCACCUUGACAGGCCCUCCUGUCAAAAUUGGGGAGGGUACUUUGAUGGACUUUGUCCCUUCUGCUCCUCCAAUGAUCCCUUCCAUCAUAGUGCACUGUGUUAAUGAGAUCGAGCAGAGAGGUCUGAAUGAGAAGGGCCUUUACCGGAUAUCUGGCUGCGACAAGACAGUGAGAGAACUGAAAGAGAAGUUUCUCAGAUCAAAAAAUAUUCCCUCGCUCAGUAACGUGGAUGAUAUCCACGCCAUCUGUGGUCUCCUGAAAGACUUUCUACGCAACCUGAAAGAGCCCCUUCUCACUUUCCGCUUAAACAAGACUUUUAUGGAAGCUGCAGAAAUCUUAGAUGAGGACAACAGCAUAGCUGCUAUGUACCAAGCAGUUGGGGAACUUCCUCGGGCUAAUAGGGACACCCUGGCUUUUCUCAUGGUUCAUCUGCAGAGAGUGGCUCAGAGCCCUGACACCAAAAUGGACGUUACCAACUUAGCCAAAGUCUUUGGCCCCACGAUAGUUGCUCAUGCAGUGCCCGAUCCUGACCCGAUGACUCUCCUGCAGGACACAAAGCGGCAACCCAAGGUAGUGGAGCGUCUUCUGCUGAUGCCUAUGGAGUACUGGAGCCAGCUGAUGAUGUUGGAGCAAGAAAACAUUGAUCCAGCGCAUGUAAUUGAGAACACCAAUGCCUACUCCACUCCACAGACACCAGAUGUUAAAGGUAGUAGCUGGAUGCUGCUCUACUGGCUGUACAGCUGCUGUAUGGAAAACAAUGAUCCUCAAUCAAAGCUGCUUGUAAGAGUGUUGGAACUAACCAUUCCUGCAUGCAAUUGGGAGGAAGAGAGAAAGAAUGCAUGCCAGAAAAUACUAGACAAGUCUGGUAUCUUUGACAGAUGCUGGGAAAUGUCUGACGUUGCUUGCAUAGCAAUGAAAACUCAGCUGUCCUCAUGCUGCUCACUUCACUGCCUAUCUUUUUUUUUUCUUGAUAGAGUGCAUAUUUGAACCCCUCACUACCCCAGAGAGGCAGAUGUACAGGAGAAUGUCUUCCAGCUCCCUGUGCCAAAAGGUCCUCUCUACCUUCAGCAUGACCCCCAAAUCUGCAAGCAAAUGCAAGUCAGCAACCCAGCUGAGGCGUCAAGGCAGAUUCUUUCCCUCUCCUGUGCUGAAAUGAAAUGGACCUGGGAGUAAAUGUCAUCCUAGGAUUUGCACACCAAUAUGCACGAGUGAAGCAGCUCCUCUCCUUGGCAGCUUGUGAAAUAAUCUCACUUUCUUUUUCUCUUUCAGCUGAAUUAAUGGGAUUGUUUUUAGUAUAUUGCACAAUGCUAGAUUUUACUACCUGCUUUUAGCAUUGGUGAAGACAGUAAAUACCAGUCCUGUUCAAAAUAUUAACGUAGGCAAUUAAACACCCUGCUACUUGUAGCAUUUCGUUCUCUGCCUGAUGAGUGAAGCAUUGCGGUGGUGCAGCCUGUCAUCCUCAGGGUGGCAGUGCUGCAUUUGUCUUGGGUUUACAAGGGGAGACUUUUGCAGAGAACUUUCUCUAGACAGCAUUAGAAGAUGAUUUAAAAACACUCUUGACCUUAGGAGUACCUGCUUCUCCAAAUGAGGAGAUAUGAACUUGCACAGGAAAAAAGCUUAGGGUGAAUGUACAGUUCAUGAAAUGCGGUUUUUACUGAGCUCUGGACAACUAUCUUAACCUGCAUAGCAGCAAAGUAAAUCAUGGUGCUCCUUGUGACUUGUAGUUCUGUACUCUGGUGAACACUUUUCACCUGCACUGUCUUUUUUAGCCAGGGCCUGGGCAGUGUUAGAGAAGGCUCUUGUGCUGUGUUACUCUGGCAGUGCUGAGGUGCAGCUUAAACCAGAAUGAAGCAUUCCACUCUGCUUUCCUUGAUGCCACUGUAUGACACUCCUUUUAUCAUUAAAAGGCCACAGACUCUGAGA